rnacentral:rRNA from 1 species
GCUUAUGGCCAUGCCACCCUGAGAACGCCCGAUCUCGUCUGAUCUCGGAAACUAAGCAGAGUCGGGCCUGGUUAGUACUUGGAUGGGAGACCGCCUGGGAAUACCAGGUGCUGUAAGCU